ensembl:lncRNA
CGCGAUCAGCCCCUGGCUGGCCUGCUUUCCGCAGCGCCACCCGAGCCAAGGACUGUGUGCUGGGGGGUUAGGCGAGGACGGGACUCUGGGCGGGGGGCCGGGGGGCUGCCCGGCGGAAGGAGGCUGCCUCACUAGAGGGUUCAGUCCUGCCACCCAGCCCCCCACGCUGAGGAAGUCCACACGCAGACCACUGAUGAGCAAGGCACAUUUUCCACCUCCAGCUCUUGCCCCCAGCGGCCAGGCUGGGUCACAGGUUCAGGAGUGCUGAGCCGGCACUGAGCACCCCAGGGGAGGUGGCAGAGACCAGACGGCGCCUAGACUCACGUGAAACCACACGAGACGCCUCUGGACACACCCCGGCCGGCUGGAGGGACAGCGAGAGCCAGGCUGAGCCCAGGAGGAUUGCUGCGGCUCCCGCUGCCAGAGAAGAGCCAGUCGGGAGGACGCCAGAGCAGGUCUGCCCUCGGGGUUGGGGGGCCCUCGGGAGAGCUGACACAGAGACCCCUCGGGCCACGGUGGUGUCCUGAGCAUUAAAUCCACUCUUGUGCGUGGAGGGGCCUGCAGAGAGCUGGCGUGCACACCCUCGUGUGAGUUUGGUGUCACGGCCCAGCCUCAGGAGGAAGGGGAUGGAGACUCCCCGUCGUUGGGGGAUUUUAAAGACGUUCCCGUGGAGACAAUUAUCAAAAUUAGGCUGUGCAUGUGACAAGCUAGAACUGCUCUGCAAGUAAAUUCCUGACACGCACUGAAAGGGUGACGUUGAGCUGCAGGAGAACAGUGAGACGGCAGGGCAAGCCCGAGCGAACUGUCCGCAGGCUGUAAGUUCAGGGACGCGGAGCCCCCACAGCCCCAGAGCCACACGGACAGGGGCCCGCAGCCCCUGGGGGGCGACGUGAGCACAGAGCACUGUUCCGCCUGCACCCAGGGACACCCCGGCUCAGGCCACACUGGACCCGGCCCCACCUCCAGGCAGCCACUCCCAGCAGGGGCCGUGAGGGUUCUUACAAAGAGGGACAGCAGAUUGUGGGGGCUAAGCAGGGGCGAGGGGAGGAUGCGGGCGUGGGUGACUUUGGAGACGAGGGCCCGCCCCGGCCCCCCUCACUGUGGUCCCGCCGAUGCAGCCGCGACCUCAGCCUCCACUCUAGCCUCACGGUUAGGGAAGAGGGGGCGCAGGGACCACCCUCCAGGCACCACCCGGCAGGAACAGCCACUGUGGGCGCCCUGUGACUUCCGGGCCGUGUGGUCUCCAGAGCAGACAGCAAGGCUCUUGGGUCCCACCUGUGUCUGACCUCAGCUCCCACUGCUGCUGGGUAUUUACUGAAGGCACACCUACUGGUGUGCAUGUGUGUGCACACAUCACACAUGCAUUUACACGCGUGCACACGCACACACCACAUGCGCACACAUCCCUCGGGAGAGAAAGCACCUUUUCUGGUUCCCACACUUCCCAAACAUCACUUUAAAGGCCACAGUCGAAGCCCAAAGGCAAAGCUUCGUGAAGCAAAUGUAUUCUGGGGUGAAUCCGACUUUUUCCUAUAGUAGUGAAAAAAGGAAAGCAAGGCUCUUCAGCCAGUCCUCCCAGUCGACGGUCCUCCCAUUUGACGGUCGCCUUCGGGGACAGUCACUCAUCCUCCCUGCCAAGGA